CCCAUUUUAAGGUCAUGCCUCGCUAACUUUCUUUUUACCAUUUUAUCAAUUCUUCAAUAAAAUUAGCGAAAAACAUCCAAACAUGUACUUUCGAAAGAGGUACAGAGGUAGAGAAAAAACAAUCGAGCUUUUUGUUUUCUAAAACAGAGACAGAGAGAGACUCUUUAACUAUUAUUAACUUUAAACUCUCCAAACAAAUAAUGGCUUUGCAACGUGUUAGAAGAGUUAAAGAAGUUAUCCUGGAACUAAAAGUAAUGGAAAUGUUUCUAAUUUUCCCCUGUCCUUCCAUUAGUUAAUCUUCAGGAUUAUCUCCGUCUAAUAAUUAAGAACUGCAAAUUUAAGAGAAAGUUUCAGAGUAGUUGCUUUCCGUGCUUUUCCGUGCGCGGAAAUAUAAGAGAAAGUUGAGACAUUUUCAAGAGUCACAUUUCAAAACGACAAAUAAAUAGCCGAAUCGUAUUUAUCAUUUAGACACAAGUUCAUGCAAUCGCUGACUUCACUUAUCGGGUCAAUAAAUUCACGUGCAACGCAGUAACAAAAUCAAACAAACAUUAAGCAACAUAAAAAAUUUUAUAUUAUUCAUUUUCUUAUCAAAUUUUAUAUAACCAAGUUCUAUAACUCCUUCAAUGUUUUUCUACUCUAUCCUAGAAUGCGUAAUAAACACUCGCCAUGUAAAUUUUAAUAGCGGUACUUCGAUUGCAAACGAAAAACUGUAAUCAAAAUGCAAUCUUCAUGCGCGACGAAUAAUCAACGUCACGUGGCACUUCCAACUUUAUGUAACAAAGUUGUGCAACUAUGCCUCAUUUUCAGUUCUUUUUACUGCUUGUUAAAAGUGCAAUAAACGUCUGUCAUAUAAAUUUUUCCGGAACUUCAUUCGAACUUGGAUUCUCUUGCGCGCGAAGUUGUUACCUCUUUAAUAUUUAAAAGUCUGGCAUUGUCAGACGGCAUGUAAAAUACAUGAUAUAAAUGCAAAAUGAUUUCCUUUUAAAAUGAUUGCCAAACCAAACGCGAACGAGCUGAUACCGGCGAUGAGUAUUUCAAUCAAUUUACAUGCUUUCGGAGGACGGGGACUAAUUCAGUAUACCGUCCAAUGCAUUUUAAGUGUGUUUAUUUGCAUAAGCCGUUUCGCCUAGUUUUACGAUAAUAUUUACUUUAGAGCCCAGAUGUUGCGGAUGUUAGAAAUGCGGAUCGAUGAUGAUACGUAAACGUUCAUCGUGUAUAGGAAUGAAUACAAAGGCUUUUGUCAUACCGUCGCGGCACUACAAGCGCAAAGAAUCAGUUUUAUUUGAAUAUGCGGUGGCACGUAUGCGAUGAGAAUUCAGUUCACGUCAGAUACGUGUGAAUUAAAAACUCUGGAAUAGACCGCCAUCUCUGCGAGAAGCAAAUGUAUCACCGCGUAAUUUGCAAAGCAAGAACAAAAAAAAAGAACGGGGAAAACGGGAGAGAUAAAGGAGACAGAUAAAGGGUGCGCGCACAAAGAUAACUCGGCUGCGACUCGGCGUAUCAUUAGCGGAGUCUAAUGAAUCCAUUCGCAAUUUCGUGUACCACAGGAUAACUGUCGGGAACUAGAAGGAUUAAGUAAACAGGAAGAUUACGCGGAUAGAAAUUACUCAGGCAGAUUACCUAGCUGGACAAGAAUGGAAACGGUACAUGCAAAAAUAUAUCCACCCGAGGCUUUUCCGCUAAGCCGUCUGGCUUCAUUCUCUAGACCCGAAAGAGAUAAGUGUGCGUCUUAUCGUCGUCGUUCAUAACAUAGUAUACCGCGGAGACUACGGCGAGUAUUUUCCACCAUUUCGCGUCGCCUGCGUCCAAAUUCCCUCCAUUCUAUGUAUGGUCAUGAUCGAGUGAAAAAAAAAACACAUAAUCUCUAUUAUAAUUAUACGAAAGAUAAUUCGGUAAUAUCUAAACUAAUUUUCAUCUGAUAUGAGAAGUAAAAUAGAAAUCGAAUGCGUACUUGA